rnacentral:sRNA from 1 species
UCUCACCGUUUUUUCUAUAUCGCCGCUUUCUUCUCAAAAGCCGCGGUUACCGCCAACCAUGUUUGGGUCAUUUCUUCAGAUCAUCCGAAUUAUGAAUUGGAAAAAGUAUAAUUGAAAAUUUGAUAAAUUACCUUGCGCAAGCCGUUUGCCUUCUUUCCCGGCCGGUUAUCUAAAGAUAUCCACUUGUCAAUAUGAUCAGAAUUUUGGGGCCGAUGGCUGUCUGGACCCUGGCAGCCACGGACUAUUGGCCCUUUUUCACGUUGCCCAUUGUAGCGCGCUAAUUAGUGCAACAUCAAAACCUUAAGUUUCCGCCAUAUCCCAGCGGCUCCUUGCCAAGUACCAAUGCUUUGGACAAACCUCCUCAAGUCCUAGUCGAAUAUGAUCCACGAUCGUCACAACAAACCUGAAUAAACGGAGAAUCAACUGAUUUGCCAAAAGAAAUUUCCAAAGGUAAUACUAUAGAGUUUUUUUCCCCAGGGUCUCGAAUCCGGACCGUGAAGACGCCAUAUUCCACCACAAACUUCUUUUCCUACUGACCCUCACUAGAUCGAGUAGCACUCUGCAGGCACGGAAAAAGAAAUGAUAAGAAACCACAAUGUUACGACUGAUAAAGCAAGUGGUAAAAUGUAGCGCUCCCCGCACAGAAAUUCUGGUGGAAAAAGUUCAUCGAUGCCAACUCCACUUACAAUGACGAGACAGUAAAACCCUGUCUAUCAAUUGCUUUGUUGUCUUCUUGUAUUUUUGUCGCUCCGGGCGGGUAAUGACACAAAUCAUUUUCGUCCUUAGAAGGUUGGAAACAAUGACUAUGUAUAGACGACUGGAAUUUGGAAACCCCGAAUUGCGAUGUAGCCCUCCCCAUCAGAAAUCCUAAACAACUUUGGGAUCGGUAAACGUUUCGUGAAAGCCACAUUUGACGGCCUAAUGCUCUAGUUAAUUAACUUUUCUUUGUCCCCAAUAGCUUCCCCGCAAAUCUAUCAAACCCUCCCCUUCUCCAAUGGAUGUUUACCGCUUGUUGAAUAGUCAUCAUCACCAUCAUCACAGAAAGGAGCAAAACAGCAUAGACCGCCCUUCCUGCUGUGGCAAUCAAAUUUAUGUCUGCAAACACUUCUAACUGGCAUUCUGAAAAUCAUUCAAGGGCUACCGUCCAUACACUGGCUGCUCAUGUCGGAUUCGAAAGGAAAUAAUUUCAAUGGGAUUACAUCAUUUUCUUUGUCGGAUAGUUACUGCAUCCCUAACAUUUACAAUCGAGCC